UAGGUGCAAGCCACUUCAAUAGAGGGACCAGAGGGUGCAACCACAGAGCCAGGAAAGAUCAUAACGGCAAAGGCUGUCGGUGGGCUGAUUGUGAGGUCAGAACUAAAAAACAUUUUCAAAUUUAAGUACACAAGGAAGCUGGCUCAGGAAUCAAGUGCCCCAGAAUCAGAGGACUUCACAACAUGAUCUCUUGCGCACUAGACCGUAAGCAUGGAGCAGGAGCCACAUCCUGCUCAUAAAUAUGACACGGGAUGCCCCCAACUGUAAGUGGCGCCAUUUCCAUGGGGCUCGUGGUAAAGAUGCCCACCUCCUUUCGUCCUGUACUCAUAGACCCUGAGUCCCUUGUAGAAGAGAAAGAGAUUGCUCGCUUUCCUAAUGCCCUGUCGACCUUGAGUACAGAGAGAAAGUGUAUCUCAGCUGGAGCAGGGGCUGGCCCAAAGUGUGGCGACACUGAAUCACCAGUCCAGUGAAGAAUACCGAAUCAACCUCAUUUCCCAAUGAGAAACCAUCUCACAGAAAAGUGAAGCCCAUUAGCUGAGGUCCAUGGUUAAAGAGUGAAUGAGUUACUACUGUCAACAGUCUGGUCUUUGCUGAUGUCUGCACUUCCCUUCUCACAUACUGUGCAACCCAGAAGGAAUACACUCUGAAGACUGUCUGGCCAAACCUUGCCACGGAGGAGCUUACGUUUUUGUCACGUGGCUGAGUAGAGGGUCAACUGUCUCAGCCUGACACUUUUGCAUUAAAUCUACUACAUGAAAGGAUAGGACCUGGGUUGAAACAUAAAGGCAACCCUGUUCAUCUCCACCAGGCUUGUUUAAGCAUCAGAGUGACAGGGUGUCAGGGCUGUGCCAUUUGUGCCCACACCUCCUCCAAUGGUGGUAAAAGUGGUUUGAAGGCCUCCAUGGCAUCCUAGAAAUGCAUGCCCACUGUAUCGGGAAAG
rnacentral:lncRNA from 1 species